UGAGGAAUCUUGCACAAUGGGCGAAAGCCUGAUGCAGCGACGCCGCGUGGAGGAUGAAGGUCUUCGGAUUGUAAACUCCUGUUAAACGGGAAGAAAGAUCUGUUUCUAAUACAAGCAGAUUAUGACGGUACCGUUAGAGAAAGCACCGGCUAACUUCGUGCCAGCAGCCGCGGUAAUACGAGGGGUGCAAGCGUUAUUCGGAUUGAUUGGGUGUAAAGGGUGUGCAGACGGCUUAUUAAGUCACUUGUUAAAUUCUUCGGCCUAACUGAAGGUCUGCAAGUGAUACUGAUGAGCUAGAGGGUGGAAGAGAGAAGUGGAAUUCUCGGAGUAGCGGUAAAAUGCGUAGAUCUCGAGAGUAACACCAAUGGCGAAGGCAGCUUCUUGGUCCAUUCCUGACGUUCAUACACGAAAGCGUGGGGAGCAAACA
rnacentral:rRNA from 1 species